UACGUAGGGGGCAAGCGUUGUCCGGAAUCAUUGGGCGUAAAGCGCGUGUAGGCGGCCAGGUAAGUCCGUUCUGAAAGCCCGGGGCUCAACCCCGGGAGGCGGAUGGAUACUGCUUGGCUCGAGUCCGGAAGAGGUGAGUGGAAUUCCAGGUGUAGCGGUGAAAUGCGUAGAUAUCUGGAGGAAUACCGGUGGCGAAGGCGGCAUCCUGGACCGGCAUUGACGCUGAGGAGCGAAAGCCAGGGGAGCAAACGGG
rnacentral:rRNA from 1 species